GACGAACGCUGGCGGCGCGCCUAACACAUGCAAGUCGAACGAGCGAGCGAGAGCUUGCUUUCUCGAGCGAGUGGCGAACGGGUGAGUAACGCGUGAGGAACCUGCCUCAAAGAGGGGGACAACAGUUGGAAGCGACUGCUAAUACCGCAUAAGCCCACGGUGCCGCAUGGCACAGAGGGAAAAGGAGCAAUCCGCUUUGAGAUGGCCUCGCGUCCGAUUAGCUAGUUGGUGAGGUAAUGGCCCACCAAGGCGACGAUCGGUAGCCGGACUGAGAGGUUGAACGGCCACAUUGGGACUGAGACACGGCCCAGACUCCUACGGGAGGCAGCAGUGGGGAAUAUUGCACAAUGGGGGAAACCCUGAUGCAGCGACGCCGCGUGGAGGAAGAAGGUCUUCGGAUUGUAAACUCCUGUUGUUGGGGAAGAUAAUGACGGUACCCAACAAGGAAGUGACGGCUAACUACGUG
rnacentral:rRNA from 1 species